rnacentral:rRNA from 1 species
UACGUAGGUGGCGAGCGUUGUCCGGAUUUACUGGGCGUAAAGCGCGCGCAGGCGGCCUGAUCAGUCUGGGGUGAAAUCUCACGGCUCAACUGUGAGCGGUCCCUGGAUACUGUCAGUCUUGAGAUGUCUAGAGGAGAGCGGAAUUCCCGGUGUAGUGGUGGAAUGCGUAGAUAUCGGGAAGAACACCAGUGGCGAAAGCGGCUCUCUGGGGACCAUCUGACGCUGAGGCGCGAAAGCGUGGGGAGCGAACCGG